UACGAAGGGUGCAACCGUUGCCCGGAAUUAUUGGGCGUAAAGCGCACGUAGGCGGCUUAGCAAGUCGGACGUGAAAUCCCUCGGCUCAACCAAGGAAGUGCUUUCGAAACUGCUGAGCUUGAGUACUUAAGAGGAUCGCGGAAUUCCCGGUGUAGAGGUGAAAUUCGUAGAUAUCGGGAGGAACACCAGUGGCGAAGGCGGCGAUCUGGGAAGAUACUGACGCUGAGGUGCGAAAGCGUGGGGAGCAAACAGG
rnacentral:rRNA from 1 species